GUGCACGCUGGCGGUAGGCCUAACCCAUGCAAGUCGAACGGCAGCACAGUAAGAGCUUGCUCUUACGGGUGGCGAGUGGCGGACGGGUGAGGAAUACAUCGGAAUCUACUUUUUCGUGGGGGAUAACGUAGGGAAACUUACGCUAAUACCGCAUACGACCUACGGGUGAAAGCAGGGGAUCUUCGGACCUUGCGCGAUUGAAUGAGCCGAUGUCGGAUUAGCUAGUUGGCGGGGUAAAGGCCCACCAAGGCGACGAUCCGUAGCUGGUCUGAGAGGAUGAUCAGCCACACUGGAACUGAGACACGGUCCAGACUCCUACGGGAGGCAGCAGUGGGGAAUAUUGGACAAUGGGCGCAAGCCUGAUCCAGCCAUACCGCGUGGGUGAAGAAGGCCUUCGGGUUGUAAAGCCCUUUUGUUGGGAAAGAAAAGCAGCAGGUUAAUACCCCGCUGUUCUGACGGUACCCAAAGAAUAAGCACCGGCUAACUUCGUG
rnacentral:rRNA from 1 species